rnacentral:rRNA from 1 species
CAGUAGCCGCGGUAAUACGUAGGGUGCGAGCGUUAAUCGGAAUUACUGGGCGUAAAGCGUGCGCAGGCGGUUUUGUAAGACAGGCGUGAAAUCCCCGGGCUCAACCUGGGAAUGGCGCUUGUGACUGCAAAGCUAGAGUGCGGCAGAGGGGGGUAGAAUUCCACGUGUAGCAGUGAAAUGCGUAGAGAUGUGGAGGAAUACCGAUGGCGAAGGCAGCCCCCUGGGCCAAUACUGACGCUCAUGCACGAAAGCGUGGGGAGCAAACAGGAUUAGAUACCCCUGUAGUCCCUGUCUCUUAUAC